rnacentral:tRNA from 1 species
AUUUAGGUAGCUUAAAUUAAAGCAAAUCUUUGAAGAAGAUAAGAUGAACUCUCUCCCCAAAUA